UCCGAUAUGGUGUAGUGGCCAACAUGAUGCCCUCUCAUUGCGUGAAAGGUUAGGCAUAGCCCCGAGUUCGAUUCUCGGUUUCGGAA
rnacentral:tRNA from 1 species